rnacentral:rRNA from 1 species
GGACGAACGCUGGCGGCGUGCCUAAUACAUGCAAGUCGAGCGGGGAGCUUCGGCUCCUAGCGGCGAACGGGUGAGUAACACGUGGGCAACCUGCCCGCAAGMUCGGGAUAACUUCGGGAAACCGGAGCUAAUACCGGAUACGCUUUUCCUCYGCAUGGAGGAAAAGGGAAAGACUUCGGUCGCUUGCGGAUGGGCCCGCGGCGCAUUAGCUAGUUGGUGAGGUAACGGCUCACCAAGGCAACGAUGCGUAGCCGACCUGAGAGGGUGACCGGCCACACUGGGACUGAGACACGGCCCAGACUCCUACGGGAGGCAGCAGUAGGGAAUUUUCCGCAAUGGGCGAAAGCCUGACGGAGCAACGCCGCGUGAGUGAUGACGGCCUUCGGGUUGUAAAACUCUGUUCUGAAGGAAGAAGUCCUGACGGUACUUCAGGAGAAAGCCCCGGCUAACUACGU